rnacentral:misc_RNA from 1 species
GAUGAAGAACGCAGUGAAAUGCGAUAAGUAAUGUGAAUUGCAGAAUUCAGUGAAUCAUCGAAUCCUUGAACGCACAUUGCGCCCGCCAGUAUUCUGGCGGGCAUGCCUGUUCGAGCGUCAUUACAACCCUCAGGCCCCCGGGCCUGGCGUUGGGGAUCGGCGGAGCCCCCCGUGGGCACACGCCGUCCCCCAAAUGCAGUGGCGGUCCCGCCGCAGCUUCCAUCGCGUAGUAGCUAACACCUCGCGACUGGAGAGCGGCGCGGCCACGCCGUAAAACACCCAACUCUUCUGAAGUUGACCUCGAAUCAGGUAGGAAUACCCGCUGAACUUAAGCAUAUCAAUAAGCGGAGGA